rnacentral:rRNA from 1 species
UACAGAGGAUGCAAGCGUUAUCCGGAAUCACUGGGCUUAAAGCGUGUGUAGGCGGACCCGUAAGUACCUUGUGAAAUCCCACGGCUCAACCGUGGAACGGCUGGGUAUACUGCGGGUCUUGAGCGGCCUAGGGGCAGACGGAACAAGUGGUGGAGCGGUGAAAUGCGUAGAUAUCACUUGGAACGCCGACGGUGAAAACAGUCUGCUGGGGGCCUGCUGACGCUGAGACACGAAAGCCAGGGGAGCGAACGGG